UAGNNUUUUGAAUCAUGGCUCAGAUUGAACGCUGGCGGCAGGCCUAACACAUGCAAGUCGAACGGUAACAGGAAGCAGCUUGCUGCUUCGCUGACGAGUGGCGGACGGGUGAGUAAUGUCUGGGAAACUGCCUGAUGGAGGGGGAUAACUACUGGAAACGGUAGCUAAUACCGCAUAACGUCGCAAGACCAAAGAGGGGGACCUUCGGGCCUCUUGCCAUCGGAUGUGCCCAGAUGGGAUUAGCUAGUAGGUGGGGUAACGGCUCACCUAGGCGACGAUCCCUAGCUGGUCUGAGAGGAUGACCAGCCACACUGGAACUGAGACACGGUCCAGACUCCUACGGGAGGCAGCAGUGGGGAAUAUUGCACAAUGGGCGCAAGCCUGAUGCAGCCAUGCCGCGUGUAUGAAGAAGGCCUUCGGGUUGUAAAGUACUUUCAGCGGGGAGGAAGGCGAUAAGGUUAAUAACCUUGUCGAUUGACGUUACCCGCAGAAGAAGCACCGGCUAACUCCGUGCCAGCAGCCGCGGUAAUACGGAGGGUGCAAGCGUUAAUCGGAAUUACUGGGCGUAAAGCGCACGCAGGCGGUCUGUCAAGUCGGAUGUGAAAUCCCCGGGCUCAACCUGGGAACUGCAUUCGAAACUGGCAGGCUAGAGUCUUGUAGAGGGGGGUAGAAUUCCAGGUGUAGCGGUGAAAUGCGUAGAGAUCUGGAGGAAUACCGGUGGCGAAGGCGGCCCCCUGGACAAAGACUGACGCNNNGNGCG
rnacentral:rRNA from 2 species